UCAAUCCUAAGAUGUUAGUCUAUCAAAUACGUUUUGACCGAACAGUUUUAGAUAUAGGAGCCUGAUUGUUUUCAUAUGGCAUACAUGCCUCGUACUUAUUGGGAACUGGGGACGUAUAAAAUAUGAAGCAAGGCACCCACCUGCGAAGAAGCGGGAUCAAAACUUAGGCAUAGACGGCAUCAUUGGGAUUGAU
rnacentral:other from 1 species